rnacentral:rRNA from 1 species
CCUACGGGAGGCAGCAGUGGGGAAUUUUCCGCAAUGGGCGAAAGCCUGACGGAGCAACGCCGCGUGAGGGAUGAAGGCCUCUGGGCUGUAAACCUCUUUUAUCAAGGAAGAAGAUCUGACGGUACUUGAUGAAUAAGCCACGGCUAAUUCCGUGCCAGCAGCCGCGGUAAUACGGGAGUGGCAAGCGUUAUCCGGAAUUAUUGGGCGUAAAGCGUCCGCAGGCGGUCUUGUAAGUCUGUCGUUAAAGCGUGGAGCUUAACUCCAUUUCGGCGGUGGAAACUACAAGACUAGAGUGUGGUAGGGGCAGAGGGAAUUCCCGGUGUAGCGGUGAAAUGCGUAGAUAUCGGGAAGAACACCAGUGGCGAAGGCGCUCUGCUGGGCCAUAACUGACGCUCAUGGACGAAAGCUAGGGGAGCGAAAGGGAUUAGAUACCCCUGUAGUCCUAGCCGUAAACGAUGAACACUAGGUGUCGGGGGAAUCGACCCCCUCGGUGUCGUAGCUAACGCGUUAAGUGUUCCGCCUGGGGAGUACGCACGCAAGUGUGAAACUCAAAGGAAUUGACG